CUAACACAUGCAAGUCGAGGGGCAGCAUGGUCGAAGCUUGCUUUGACUGAUGGCGACCGGCGAAUGGGUGAGUCACGCGUGUCCAACCUGCCCCCCGCCCGGGGAUAGCCCUUGGAAAUGAGGAUUAAUACCCGAUACGUGCGCAUUCCGCAUGGCGUGCGCAUGAAACGAGGCGGGGGAUGGGGACGCGUCGGAUUAGCUUGACGGCGGGGCGACGGCCCACCGUGGCGACGAUCCGCAGGGGUUCUGAGAGGAAGGUCCCCCACACUGGCACUGAGACACGGGCCAGACUCCUACGGGAGGCAGCAGUGAGGAAUAUUGGUCAAUGGCCGAGAGGCUGAACCAGCCAAGUAGCGUGCAGGAUGACGGCCCUACGGGUUGUAAACUGCUUUUGCGGGAGGAUAAAGUUGCCCACGCGUGGGCAUUUGCAGGUAUCCCGUGAAUAAGGACCGGCUAAUUCCGUGCCAGCAGCCGCGGUAAUACGGAAGGUCCGGGCGUUAUCCGGAUUUAUUGGGUUUAAAGGGAGCGCAGGCGGAGGUGCAAGCGUGCCGUGAAAGCGCGGGGCUCAACCCCGUACAGCGGCGCGAACUGCUCCCCUUGGUUGCGGGAAGGGAAGGCGGAACUCGUGGUGUAGCGGUGAAAUGCAUAGAUAUCACGAAGAACUCCGAUCGCGAAGGCAGCCUUCCGGCCCGCCAACGACGCUCAUGCUCGAAGGCGCGGGUAUCAAACAGGAUUAGAUACCCUGGUAGUCCGCGCGGUAAACGAUGAACACUCGGGAUUUGCCCCUUGCGGGUGAGUCCCCCAGCGAAAGCGUUAAGUGUUCCACCUGGGGAGUACGCCGGCAACGGUGAAACUCAAAGGAAUUGACGGGGGCCCGCACAAGCGGAGGAACAUGUGGUUUAAUUCGAUGAUACGCGAGGAACCUUACCCGGGCUUGAAAUGUGCAUGACGGGAGGCAGAGACGCCUCCUUCCUUCGGGCAUGCAUGUAGUGCUGCAUGGUUGUCGUCAGCUCGUGCCGUGAGGUGUCGCUCAGUGCCAUACGAGCGCAACCCCUUCCGCCGGUUACAUCGGGUGAUGCCGGGACUCCGGCGGCACUGCGCGCAGGCUUGAGAGCGGAUGACGUCAUCAGACCGUCUUACGUCGGCACACACGUGUUCAAUGGGGGCAACACUGACGGCGCAACCGUCGAAUCAUGAAUUCUUCAAUCGAACGGAAUCUGCAACCGAAUCCGACGAAUCCUGUAUCGCCUAACAUGGCGGGUAACUUUCGGGCGUG
rnacentral:rRNA from 1 species